rnacentral:rRNA from 1 species
CCUACGGGAGGCAGCAGUGGGGAAUAUUGGACAAUGGGCGAAAGCCUGAUCCAGCCAUGCCGCGUGUGUGAAGAAGGCCUUCGGGUUGUAAAGCACUUUCAGUGGGGAAGAAAGCCUCGGGGCUAAUACCCUCGAGGAAGGACAUCACUCACAGAAGAAGCACCGGCUAACUCCGUGCCAGCAGCCGCGGUAAUACGGAGGGUGCGAGCGUUAAUCGGAAUUACUGGGCGUAAAGCGCGCGUAGGCGGUCUGAUAAGCCGGUUGUGAAAGCCCCGGGCUCAACCUGGGAACGGCAUCCGGAACUGUCAGGCUAGAGUGCAGGAGAGGAAGGUAGAAUUCCAGGUGUAGCGGUGAAAUGCGUAGAGAUCGGGAGGAAUACCAGUGGCGAAGGCGGCCUUCUGGACUGACACUGACGCUGAGGUGCGAAAGCGUGGGUAGCAAACAGGAUUAGAUACCCGGGUAGUC